CUCGGGCCGCGCAGGAGCCCACGGCGGGGGCGAGGCUCAGGCAUGGCGGGCUGCAGGUCCCGAGCCGUACCCCGCGGGGAGGCAGCUAAGGCCCGGCGAGAAGUCGAGCACAGCAGCUGCUGGACCGGGUGCUAAGCCCCUCACUGCCCCGGGCGCGGGGCCGGCUGGCCGCUCCGAGUGCUGGGCCUGGGAGGCCACGCCCACCCGGAACUUGCCCUAGUCCGCAAGCGCAGCGUGCAGCCUGGGUUCCCGCCCGCGCCUCUCCCGCCACACCUCCCUGCAAGCUGAGGGAGCCGGCUCCUGCCUUGGCCAGGCUAGAAAGGGGCUCCCACAGUGCAGGGGCGGGCUGAAGGGCUCCUCAAGUGCCACCAAAGUGGGAGCCCAGGCAGAGGAGGUGCCGAGAGCGAGCGAGGGCUGCGAGGACUGCCAGCAGCUGUCACCUCUCGUUACCAUCACUCCUAGUGACCAUUUCGGAUAAUCCACCUUGCCUCAUCAAACCAGAAAACAAUUCAAACCUGGCCUCCUUCUAACUGGAAGCCACAUUUUAAGAACUUAUUGUGAAGAACUGGAAAGCCUCCAAUAGAACAGAAGCUAAAAGCAGAAAUUAUAAAAGCUGUUACACCUACUCAGCUCUAUUACAUGUUGGAAAAACUGAACCAGAGAAACAAUUACAUACACUCUUGUCUUCUGGAAAAGCUGAAUUGGGUUUUGGUCUGAAUCAAUAGGACCCAUUAUACAGGCUGCCUUUCCAGCUCUCCAAUCAUACUUCCAAGAAAACUGCUCACUCUCAGAACCAAGGUUCAAGUUGUACAUUGGGAUUUGGGUAGAGGUAAGAGGAAACACCCUCAAAUAGAUUUGGAUCAUUCCAGAUGUCCUAUAAAUGAAGUUUGACAUUUGCUCAAGUAUCACCACCUCACUGUAAAAGCAACGAAUCUACCUUCAUUGUGAAAAUUUGGGGACUAGAAUUAAUGAGUACAGUAACCUUAUGGAUAGAACCUUCAGAGUUUUUCAUUAUCUAUGUGAAGAGAUAAUUCUAAAUUAUUUGAGAUCUAGUAUCUGUCAGCUUGGGGACUGGUGUCUAGUCCCAAGACUAGACAAAGGAAACCCUUAUUAGUAUUUUUAUUUUCCAUUUCAAAUAAAAA
rnacentral:lncRNA from 10 species